rnacentral:rRNA from 1 species
UACGAAGGGGGCGAGCGUUGUUCGGAUUUACUGGGCGUAAAGGGCGCGCAGGCGGCGCAUUUUGUCAGGCGUGAAAGCCCCGGGCUUAACCUGGGAACUGCGUUUGAUACGGAUGGGCUAGAGUUCGGGAGAGGAGAGUGGAAUUCCCAGUGUAGAGGUGAAAUUCGUAGAUAUCGGAAGGAACAUCAGUGGCGAAAGCGGCUUCCUGGUCCAGCACCGACGUUCAGGCACGAAAGCGUGGGGAGCAAACAGG